AAAAAAAAAAAAAAAGAAAAAAAAAAAAAAAAGAAGAUUGAUUGUACUAAAGUAAUCAGUAGCCUAACUGUUAAAUAAAUACAUUUAAAUAAAUUACUUUUUUCUCCAACCCACUUACCAGGCAUAUCCAUCUAUUCUGUUGUCUUUGACAAACUUCAUUUUUCUUCUGCAGUGUCCACAUCGCAUUAUUUUGGCUAAUAAUUUUUUUCGCUGCAUCCAUUUGAUAAGCUUUAUCUUAUCAUUUUUUUCGUGCAGUCGUGAUACUGUAUGUAAAGACACCAUAUUUUAAAUUUCGCGCCUAGCUGCCUACCUGCGCGGUUUAUUUCUAUACGUGUAAUAUACGUCAUCGAACCGCGUUAUCACGUGACCUUAGUAACGGCCUUUAUUGGUUAGAAAAGGAAUCGCUUAGAAUCCUGGAGAGACACCUACACAACUGGUCCACUAUGGCCAGCAAAAGAGUGAAAAGGAGAGGACAAAAAAUAUGGGAUGAAGAGACUGUAGAGAGCCCCAAAAAUGUGACACAAGAUCUGCAAGCUGCUAAAGAAGUAACGUUAGAGAAGCAUGUAGGAGAAGACCAGAGAAUGGAAGAUGAAGAUCAUGUGUCCAGCAAGGAGAGUGAACAGUGUGAUGAGACUCUGUUCAGUGAUAAAACCAGCUCCCUGAAGUUGCAGCAGAAAAAUAAAAGACUGCGGAAAAAAAUUAAGAAAAAGCAAGAGGAAAUUGACACCUUGAAGAAAAAGUUGAGAGCAAGAACAGGGAAAUCAAAAAAGUACAAAUCCUGAGAUUCAGAUGAUUCCAGCUCCACCUCCAGCUCCAGCUCCACCUCCAGUUCCACCUCCAGCUCCACCUCCAGUUCCACCUCCAGUUCCUUGUUUUCAUCUACUUCAUUCUCCAAAAUGAAGAAACCCCACAAGAAAAGUAAAAAGAAGCACCGUCAUCCUCUGGCAAUGGCAAGAGCUCGCACAACUGAUGAUGUGGUACAUAGGUACCAUAAAGUUAUGAAGGCCUAUAAGAGUCAGGGGAGCAUGACUAAGGCAUUUAAAAUGGUAGGUGUGGAUCGGAACACACUGGCGCUGUCUGCUCCCCUGGCAGAAAUUGCAAUUGCAUGUCCAAAAUUCUUAAAGAGCCUUCCACCAUUUAACCUCAGAAAAGAGAAGCUUUUAGACUACUCUAAGCGUUGUGCGGAGUCAAUGACUCCAGAGGUCAGCACUAAAAUUGAAGAGCUAAAAGCUAAAGGCAAGCUUCUGCCAAUCAAGUACAAAUACAGAUAAGCCCCUUAAUAUUUAAUAGUUUAAUAAUGUUAUAGUUUUAUAUUGGGGCUAUUUUUGUUUUUUAUUUAUUCAUUUAAUUUGUUUCACAAGCAGUUCCACUAUGUUAGAAUGCACUUAAAAUGUGUUUAAGUAAUAUGUUUUGCUUAGCAAUGUAUUAAAAGCCAUUCUAUUCUAGUGUUCCAUUGUUUUAAAGCUUAAUAAUAAA